rnacentral:rRNA from 1 species
UACGUAGGGUGCGAGCGUUGUCCGGAAUUAUUGGGCGUAAAGGGCUCGUAGGCGGUCUGUUGCGUCGGUAGUGAAAACUCAGGGCUUAACCCUGAGCCUGCUUCCGAUACGGGCAGACUAGAGGUAUGCAGGGGAGAACGGAAUUCCUGGUGUAGCGGUGAAAUGCGCAGAUAUCAGGAGGAACACCGGUGGCGAAGGCGGCAUCCUGGACCGGCAUUGACGCUGAGGGGCGAAAGCUAGGGGAGCAAACGGG